UCUGCAGCGCUUUUUAUUGAAUCAGUCAAUCAUCUUCUUCCUUUCUGUUUCCUUCACCAGAAGUUAUGGCGGUACGGCAGCAAUCUUCAGCUACUCAGCUCGAGCCUUGGAACUGCCUUCACGGCAAAGUGGUGAUGGUCACCGGAGCCUCGUCGGGGCUUGGCCGUGAGUUCUGUCUCGAUCUUGCUAAAGCCGGUUGCAGAAUCGUCGCUGCCGCACGCCGAAUCGAUAGACUCCAAUCUCUCUGUGAAGAAAUCAAUCGCCUUAAUGUCUCCUCAUCUUCCUCCGUCGCUCCGGUUACCGGUCCUAGAGCCGUGGCUGUGGAGCUCGAUGUUAGCGCCGAUGGAAAGAGUAUCGAGAAAUCCAUAAAAAAUGCUUGGGAUUCGUUCGGCUUCAUCGAUGCCUUGGUGAAUAAUGCAGGUUUUAGAGGCACAGUGAAGACAUCUUUGGAAUUGUCUGAAGAGGAAUGGGAUCAAGUGAUGGGAACAAAUCUUAAAGGUUCUUGGUUAGUAUCAAAGUAUGUGUGUAGUCAUAUGCGUGACUCCAAACGAGGUGGAUCUGUUAUCAGUAUUUCUUCCAUUUCUGGUAUUGAAAGAGGCCAAUUACCUGGUGGCCUUGCCUAUGCUGCUUCAAAGGCAGGCAUAAACACUUUGACAAAGGUUAUGGCUCUUGAAUUAGGGCCAUACAAUAUCAGAGUAAAUUCUAUAGCGCCCGGACUGUUUAAAUCUGAGAUUACAGAGGGUCUCAUGCAGAAAGAUUGGCUAAAUACUGUAGCCUUUAAAACUAGCCCUUUAAGGACAUUUGGUACUUCUGAUCCAGCAUUAACAACACUCAUCCGAUAUCUGGUGGACGACUCGUCUAGAUACGUCUCGGGCAACAUUUACAUCGUCGAUGCUGGAGCUACAUUACCCGGUUUCCCAAUUUUCUCAUCCCUUUGAAUAUUUAUGGUCCAGUUGAUGAUCUUGUUUAGUGAAAGAUCAGGCUUAGAAUUGUCAGAUCAUCUCCUACCUGAAAAUUUGAAAGAACAAUGUUUGCAUAUUCAACGCGAUUAAGGACAUAUGAAGUCGAGCAACGGGAUUAAGGGCGUAUGAAGUCGAGAAAUUGAAAAUGAUUUCAUUUUGGUGUAACAAAAAAUGAUACUUUUAUGAUAUUUUGUGUAGAUAUAUUAAUAUCCCAUCGUUUUAAAAAUUGUAUCGGUUGAGAAUGUGGAGACAAAACUUUGUCGUGGAGAUAAUGGACUAGGCCCAUUUAUGGUUUGGCUUCUUAACAUAUAUAUAUAUAUAUAUAUUUAAAUUUGAGAGAAGUGGGUGCUGCAAAUCAAAAAAAAAUGACGACCUCCUUAUUUGAAGUGAUCAAGCACACCAUCUGCGACAGUGGCAACCAUUCUUCGAAGUUUUUUUUUUUUCAUUUUUAAAUCUUGUUUAUACCAUCUGGGUGUGCGACUGUGGACAUCGGGAUGUAGUACUGGGAUCAAAUAUUUCGUGUUGGACUAUUUGGAAGAAAUAUGUGGCGUGAGUCUUGGAACCAUUGCAAUUUUCAUCAUAGUAAUACCUGUAAUUGUAGAAGACUCGUAGUCUCGAGUUUGGGUCGAACUAGUAUAUUUUUAGUGUUUUUCUUUCUUUCUUCUCUUAAUUAUUAUUAUUUUAUGAUUGUUGAUA